CAAGUCGAACGAGAAAGUGGAGCAAUCCAUGAGUAAAGUGGCGUACGGGUGAGUAACACGUGGAUGAUCUACCUUUUAGUGGGGAAUACCGUUGGGAAACCGACGACAAUACCGCAUAAGCUCGAGAGAGGAAAGCCGAAAGGCGCUGAAAGAGGAGUCCGCGGUCGAUUAGCUAGUUGGUAAGGUAAUGGCUUACCAAGGCUGUGAUCGAUAGCCGGCCUGAGAGGGCACACGGCCACACUGGCACUGAAACACGGGCCAGACUCCUACGGGAGGCAGCAGUGGGGAAUCUUGCACAAUGGGGGCAACCCUGAUGCAGCGACGCCGCGUGAGCGAUGAAGCCCUUCGGGGUGUAAAGCUCUUUCGGCAGGGAAGAUUAUGACGGUACCUGCAGAAGCAGCUGCGGCUAACUACGUGCCAGCAGCCGCGGUAAUACGUAGGCAGCAAGCGUUGUUCGGAGUUACUGGGCGUAAAGGGUGCGUAGGCGGCUCUAUAAGUAUGGUGUGAAAUCUCCCGGCUUAACUGGGAGGGUGCGCCGUAGACUGUGGGGCUAGAGUGUGGGAGAGGAAAGUGGAAUUCCUGGUGUAGCGGUGAAAUGCGUAGAUAUCAGGAGGAACACCGGUGGUGUAAACGGCUUUCUGGACCAUAACUGACGCUGAGGCACGAAAGCGUGGGUAGCAAACAGGAUUAGAUACCCUGGUAGUCCACGCCCUAAACGACGCAUAUUUGGUGUGGGCCAUUCAUUUGGUCCGUGCCGGAGCUAACGCGUUAAAUAUGCC
rnacentral:rRNA from 1 species